rnacentral:rRNA from 1 species
UACAGAGGGUGCAAGCGUUGUUCGGAAUUACUGGGCGUAAAGCGUGCGCAGGCGGUUCGUUGUGUCGGCGGUGAAAGCCCCGGGCUUAACCUGGGAAUGGCCGUUGAAACUGGCGAACUGGAGUGUGGCAGAGGGGGGUGGAAUUCCGCGUGUAGCAGUGAAAUGCGUAGAGAUGCGGAGGGACACCGAUGGCGAAGGCAGCCCCCUGGGCUAACACUGACGCUCAGGCACGAAAGCGUGGGGAGCAAACAGG